rnacentral:misc_RNA from 1 species
GCGCCGGUACCGGACCGAGCGCAGCGAGGGAGGAUAAGGAGGCGCGACCCUUGGUGUU